GGCUCGGGAAAAAAUUCAUAACAGCCGAUCGGAAUUCGGAAAAUACGACCGACUGUCGAAUACUGCUGCUUUGUUGACAGGCCUUUGCAGUGAGCCCAAACAUGGCGGGUUUAUUUUGGUUUUUGGAGCGACGAUAAUUUUUUAUUUUUCAGCUAUUAUGGAUAUCGACUCAUCGAAAAGUGCGAAAGUUGGUCUUUCAUGCGAAAGUCUUUCAUAUUUCGUGUUUGAAAAGUGGUGUUUGGACAUUAUAAAAGAUUUCAAAUAAGGCUAAAUCACUGCAGUCGAAUGCAGUCUAACAUUCAGGUGCUGUCUUAUGACUGUAAUCUGUAAAAAAGUGUUCUUGAAUAUGCCCCAUGAAGAUGGUUAUUUAUCAAAUACUGAAAUGAACAAAGCUUUUCAUCUAUAAGAGCUGGAUUUAGGUACUGUCUUAUGAUCGUAAUCUGUAAAAAAGUGUUCUUGAAUA